GGGAUGCGGCGGGUGGUGGGGUGGCGGCCGGUGAGAGUGGUGAGAGAGCCGCGCGUCUUUCGGUUCGAGAGAGUGGUGGGAGUAUGGCCGCUUUUUGAGGACACAUUUAGUUUCUAGCGUAACCACUACUCGUCGCUGUCAUCGAUGUCCGCAGAUAAAUAUAACCUGAAAAACCGGAGAUAAGAACCCACGUGUGUUCAUCAUACAGGUCUGGAAACUACUCUAAUUUCAGUGGUGGGAGUAUGGCCGCUUUUUAAAGACAUAUUUAGUUUCUAGCGUAACCACUACUCGUCGCUGUCAUCGAUGUCCGCAGAUAAAUAUAACCUGAAAAACCGGAGAUAAGAACCCACGUGUGUUCAUCAUACAGGUCUGGAAACUACCUCUAAUUUCAGUGGUGGGAGUAUGGCCGCUUUUUGAGGACACAUUUAGUUUCUAGCGUAACCACUACUCGUCGCUGUCAUCGAUGUCCGCAGAUAAAUAUAACCUGAAAAACCGGAGAUAAGAACCCACGUGUGUUCAUCAUACAGGUCUGGAAACUACUCUAAUUUCAGUGGUGGGAGUAUGGCCGCUUUUUGAGGACACAUUUAGUUUCUAGCGUAACCACUACUCGUCGCUGUCAUCGAUGUCCGCAGAUAAAUAUAACCUGAAAAACCGGAGAUAAGAACCCACGUGUGUUCAUCAUACAGGUCUGGAAACUACUCUAAUUUCAGUGGUGGGAGUAUGGCCGCUUUUUAAAGACAUAUUUAGUUUCUAGCGUAACCACUACUCGUCGCUGUCAUCGAUGUCCGCAGAUAAAUAUAACCUAAAAAACCGGAGAUAAGAACCCACGUGUGUUCAUCAUACAGGUCUGGAAACUACUCUAAUUUCAGUGGUGGGAGUAUGGCCGCUUUUUAAGACAUAUUUAGUUUCUAGCGUAACCACUACUCGUCGCUGUCAUCGAUGUCCGCAGAUAAAUAUAACCUGAAAAACCGGAGAUAAGAACCCACGUGUGUUCAUCAUACAGGUCUGGAAACUACCUCUAAUUUCAGUGGUGGGAGUAUGGCCGCUUUUGAGGACACAUUUAGUUUCUAGCGUAACCACUACUCGUCGCUGUCAUCGAUGUCCGCAGAUAAAUAUAACCUGAAAAACCGGAGAUAAGAACCCACGUGUGUUCAUCAUACAGGUCUGGAAACUACUCUAAUUUCAGUGGUGGGAGUAUGGCCGCUUUUUGAG